CAGUAGCCGCGGUAAUACGUAGGGUGCGAGCGUUAAUCGGAAUUACUGGGCGUAAAGCGUGCGCAGGCGGUUGUGUAAGACAGGUGUGAAAUCCCCGGGCCUAACCUGGGAACUGCGCUUGUGACUGCACAGCUAGAGUAUGGCAGAGGGGGGUGGAAUUCCACGUGUAGCAGUGAAAUGCGUAGAGAUGUGGAGGAACACCGAUGGCGAAGGCAGCCCCCUGGGCCAAUACUGACGCUCAUGCACGAAAGCGUGGGGAGCAAACAGGAUUAGAUACCCGCGUAGUCCCUGUCUCUUAUAC
rnacentral:rRNA from 1 species